UCCUGAAGGGACGUUGAAGACGACGACGUUGAUAGGCCGGGUGUGUAAGCGCAGCGAUGCGUUGAGCUAACCGGUACUAAUGACCCGUGAGGCUUAACCUUACAACGCCAGAGGCGUUUUG
rnacentral:rRNA from 1 species